rnacentral:rRNA from 1 species
UACGGAGGGUGCAAGCGUUGUCCGGAAUCACUGGGCGUAAAGGGCGCGUAGGCGGUUUGCUAAGUCUUCUGUGAAAUCUACGGGCUCAGCCUGUAACGUGCAGAGGAAACUGACAGACUUGAGUGUCGGAGAGGAUAGUGGAAUUCCCGGUGUAGAGGUGAAAUUCGUAGAGAUCGGGAGGAACACCAGUGGCGAAGGCGACUAUCUGGCUGACAACUGACGCUGAGACUCGAAAGCAUGGGGAGCAAACAGG